rnacentral:rRNA from 1 species
GAUUAACGCUGGCGGCGUGCCUAACACAUGCAAGUCGAACGAUGAAACUCAUUAGAUUUCUUCGGAAUGAAAAUGAAUGGAUUAGUGGCGAACGGGUGAGUAACGCGUGAGUAACCUGCCUUACACAAGGGGAUAGCCUCUGGAAACGGAGAAUAAUACCCUAUGAAACCAGACAAUCGCAUGAUAAUCUGGUCAAAAUGUUUAGUGGUGUAAGAUGGACUUGCGUCUGAUUAGCUAGUUGGUGAGAUAAAAGCUCACCAAGGCAACGAUCAGUAGCCGGCUUGAGAGAGUGUACGGCCACAUUGGGACUGAGACACGGCCCAGACUCCGACGGGAGGCAGCAGUGGGGAAUUUUGCACAAUGGGGGAAACCCGGAUGCAGCGACGCCGCGUGAUUUAGAAGGCCUUCGGGUUGUAAAAAUCUUUUGUAUAGGAAGAAAAUGACAGUACUAUACGAAUAAGGGCCGGCUAAUUACGUG